rnacentral:rRNA from 1 species
AAAUGCGUAGAUAUCAGUUGGAACGCCGGAGGCGAAAGCGGGUCACUGGGCCUGUCCUGACGCUGAGACGCGAAAGCGUGGGGAGCGAACAGGAUUAGAUACCCUGGUAGUCCACGCCGUAAACGAUGCGCACUAGGUAUGAACGGUUUUGACGCCUGUCGUGCCGAAGCAAAAGUGCUAAGUGCGCCGCCUGGGGAGUACGGCCGCAAGGCUAAAACUCAAAGGAAUUGACGGGGGCUCACACAAGCGGUGGAGCAUGUGGAUUAAUUCGAAGCAACGCGAAGAACCUUACCUGGGUUUGACAUGCACGGAUGCCCUCUUGGAAACAGGAGUAAGCUGCCUUCGGGUGAAACGUGCACAGGUGCUGCAUGGCUGUCGUCAGCUCGUGCUGUGAAGUGUCGGGUUAAGUCCCUCAACGAGCGAAACCCUUAUCGUUAGUUGCCAGCGGGUCAUGCCGGGGACUCUAGCGAGACUGCCGGUGUCAAACCGGAGGAAGGCGGGGACGACGUCAAGUCAUCAUGGCCCUUAUGCCCAGGGCGUCACACGUGCUACAAUGGUCGGUACAGAGCGACGCGAUACCGCGAGGUGGAGCAAAUCGCACAAAGCCGGCCUCAGUUCGGAUUGGAGUCUGCAACUCGACUCCAUGAAGUUGGAAUCGCUAGUAAUCGCGGAUCAGCCAUGCCGCGGUGAAUGUGUUCCUGAGCCUUGUACACACCGCCCGUCAAGUCAUGGAAGCUGGGAGUACCCGAAGUCCGCUUAGCUAACCCGCAAGGGAUGCGGCGGCCGACGGUAAGCCCGGUGACUGGGACUAAGUCGUAACAAGGUAACCGUA